rnacentral:rRNA from 1 species
CCUACGGGAGGCAGCAGUGGGGAAUAUUGGACAAUGGGGGCAACCCUGAUCCAGCCAUGCCGCGUGUGUGAAGAAGGCCUUUUGGUUGUAAAGCACUUUAAGCAGUGAAGAAGACUCCAUGGUUAAUACCCAUGGACGAUGACAUUAGGUGCAGAAUAAGCACCGGCUAACUGUGUGCCAGCAGCCGCGGUAAU